rnacentral:rRNA from 1 species
AUUGAACGCUGGCGGCAGGCCUAACACAUGCAAGUCGAGCGGAUGAAGGGAGCUUGCUCCUGGAUUCAGCGGCGGACGGGUGAGUAAUGCCUAGGAAUCUGCCUGGUAGUGGGGGAUAACGUCCGGAAACGGGCGCUAAUACCGCAUACGUCCUGAGGGAGAAAGUGGGGGAUCUUCGGACCUCACGCUAUCAGAUGAUCCUAGGUCGGAUUAGCUAGUUGGUGGGGUAAAGGCCUACCAAGGCGACGAUCCGUAACUGGUCUGAGAGGAUGAUCAGUCACACUGGAACUGAGACACGGUCCAGACUCCUACGGGAGGCAGCAGUGGGGAAUAUUGGACAAUGGGCGAAAGCCUGAUCCAGCCAUGCCGCGUGUGUGAAGAAGGUCUUCGGAUUGUAAAGAACUUUAAGUUGGGAGGAAGGGCAGUAAGUUAAUACCUUGCUGUUUUGACGUUACCAACAGAAUAAGCACCGGCUAACUUCGUG